UACAGAGGGAUGCUACCGGGCGACCGGAUGCGGAUCUCGAAAGCCUGUCCCAGUUCGGACUGGAGUCUGCAACCCGACUCCACGAAGUUGGAAUCGCUAGUAAUCGCGCAUCAGCCACGGCGCGGUGAAUACGUUCCCGGGCCUUGUACACACCGCCCGUCAAGCCAUGGAAGCCGGGAGUGCCUGAAGUGCGUGAGCGCAAGCAGCGCCCUAAGGUAAAACCGGUGACUGGGGCUAAGUCGUAACAAGGUAUC
rnacentral:rRNA from 1 species